UUUCCGUAGGUGAACCUGCGGAAGGAUCAUUAUUGUAUAACCGAGGUGCGAGGGCUGUCGCGGACCCGAAAGGUCGUGGACGCCCGAGUGCCCUCACACACAUCCAUCUCACCCCUAUGUGCACCACCGCGUGGGUCCCCCUUUGGCUUGUUCGGAGGGGGGCUUACGUUUUCACACAAACUUUGUAUGCAGUGUAGAAUGUAUUUUUUGUUUUUGCGAUCACGCAAUCAAUACAACUUUCAACAACGGAUCUCUUGGCUCUC
rnacentral:misc_RNA from 1 species